rnacentral:misc_RNA from 1 species
AAGUCGUAACAAGGUUUCCGUAGGUGAACCUGCGGAAGGAUCAUUAAAGAGUGAAGGGUCCCAACCGGCCCGACCUCCAACCCUCUGUCGUUAAAACAAACACCGUUGCUUUGGCGGGACCGCGGGCCUCACGGCCUGCUGCCGGUCUUCGGCCCGGCACGCGCCCGCCAGAGUCCAACCAAAACUCUCGUUCAAACACAUCGUCUGAGUAAAUUGAUAAAUCAAUCAAAACUUUCAACAACGGAUCUCUUGGUUCUG